rnacentral:tRNA from 2 species
CAGGUAGCUCAGUCGGUAGAGCAGAGGACUGAAAAUCCUCGUGUCGGUGGUUCGAUUCCGCCCCUGG